ACUGAGCGGCGGACGGGUGAGUAACGCGUGGGUAACCUGCCUCAUACGGGGGGAUAACAGUUGGAAAUGACUGCUAAUACCGCAUAAGCGCACAGGACCGCAUGGUCAAGUGUGAAAAACUCCGGUGGUACGAGAUGGACCCGCGUCUGAUUAGUUAGUUGGUGGGGUAACGGCCCACCAAGGCGACGAUCAGUAGCCGGCCUGAGAGGGUGAACGGCCACAUUGGGACUGAGACACGGCCCAAACUCCUACGGAAGGCAGCAG
rnacentral:rRNA from 1 species